AUUCCUACGGGAGGCAGCAGUGGGGAAUUUUCCGCAAUGGGCGAAAGCCUGACGGAGCAACGCCGCGUGAGGGAUGAAGGCCUCUGGGCUGUAAACCUCUUUUAUCAAGGAAGAAGAUCUGACGGUACUUGAUGAAUAAGCCACGGCUAAUUCCGUGCCAGUAGCCGCGGUAAUACGGGAGUGGCAAGCGUUAUCCGGAAUUAUUGGGCGUAAAGCGUCCGCAGGCGGCCCAGAAAGUCUGCUGUUAAAAAGUGGAGCUUAACUCCAUCAUGGCAGUGGAAACUUCUGGACUAGAGUGUGGUAGGGGCAGAGGGAAUUCCCGGUGUAGCGGUGAAAUGCGUAGAUAUCGGGAAGAACACCAGUGGCGAAGGCGCUCUGCUGGGCCAUCACUGACGCUCAUGGACGAAAGCCAGGGGAGCGAAAGGGAUUAGAUACCCCUGUAGUCCUGGCCGUAAACGAUGAACACUAGGUGUCGGGGGAAUCGACCCCCUCGGUGUCGUAGCCAACGCGUUAAGUGUUCCGCCUGGGGAGUACGCACGCAAGUGUGAAACUCAAAGGAAUUGACGGAAU
rnacentral:rRNA from 1 species